UCUGCUCUUCGAAACCCUUGGUUUCUGCAGAAGUCCUUCGAGAGGUUCGUGGGGGCAAAGGAAGGUGAGGGGCAGGAGCCCAGGCCACCCGGCCUCCUUCCUUUCCCCACGUCUGCUUUCAACUGUUUCAUAUGCAUCAUGCAAAUCGCAGCUGUCAUGGCUCAGGUCCUCAUGUGUACAAUGGGCGCCAUGGCAGCGUCCAGGUCAGAGGGUGACCAGAGUGACAUGAAUUAAGACACGAGAGGACUCCAAAGAGUGGUCAGGCCUCUCACGUCAUAAGAUCUCCAUAAAUGGUCACUAUUAUUUUGUGUUAUUAGGGGUACGCUUUUCAUUUGUAAGAUGACUUCCAUGGGGCCCCACGCCUCAUGACCCCGUCUCACCCCCUGCAAAUACCAUCCCAUGGAGAGGCAGGACUUGAGCCUAUGAAUUUGAGGGGUACACGGUUCAGUCCAAACCUUUUGGUGUUUCUGUGUAUCCAUUUCUGCAUGUGUAAAAUGAGGAGAACAGACAGCUUCCGACCUCAUCUCCAAAGGCGCACGGAGGAGGUGGAAAGGCCCUCGCCGGAGACUGAGCACUGCAGCCAGCGCAAGGCCGGAUUUGCUGCUUCCGCGCGGGGACGCCCUCGGAAAGGUGGCAGGUGCCCACGGCGAGGAAGGGGCGGGAGUGAGGGGUGCGUGGCCCGAGAGAACUCAGUGAAGAAGGCCAUUAGGGAGGAAAUAAGGGAAACGGGGUGUGCGAAGCUCUGAGCUUUUUCUGCCCGGUUUGGCUGAGGACACGCCACGGGUGAGCAUCUGCGCGAGGGGAGCUUGGUGGGUGAGGAAGGAAGAAGACACGAUAGAGAACUGGAAGCAAGAAGGGAGGAAACCAAAAGGAACGGGGAGGAGAAAGGGCUUCUCUGGAGCUGCUUGCUUUUCCCAGAUUCUCCUGCCAUUCCUGGCUCCAGGGAGUCCUGAAGGAACGAUGGUUAGGGCGGAGAAUCCUGCAGAGGAAAGGAGAGAAAGGACUAGAGGUCACACACGGCUUCUUGGAGGGGAGCGGGGAGCAGGGGCUCCGAGGCUGCGGGUCGCAGGCUCCAGGGCAGGAAGCUCUCCAUGGGAACCGUAGUAUGAAUUCCACCGAGGUGCGUCCCGGCACAGACCCGAAGGCAGCCACAUUUGUGGAAAUAAGAUUUGACGUGCAUUUCGGAUCCGCAGAGAAGGUGGACUCUGUUUUGCAGAAUGGACCAGCGGUGGGGGGUGGGGUGGGGGGCAGGAAAAGACUUUCUGGUAACCCAGGUUCCUGUCUCUGGGCUCCCCUCCAAGAAGCCUGCAAGGGCAGGGCACCCCUGUCCUUUUCUCCCCCUUCCUUCUCUGGGGCAGCCAUGCUCUCCUCCCAGGACGCAGCCCCACCCAGGGCACCCUGCAGCUAAGCUUGAUGCCUGGACCUGCUCUGGCCUGGAGGGGACACACAUCAAUCCCUGCAGAUGGGUUGGCUCCCACAGAACAGGUUUCCCUUGGAAAGAGCUCCUGAGAGGCGGGGAGCGGCCAACCCUCCCCUGGAACUACACUGAGGACCCUCCUGUCGAGGGGACUGAGCCUGUGGGGUCAGCAGGAGUGGAGCAUAGGCACUGGGCUGCUGUCGGGCCAGAGGGAGGAGGCGGCUCUCCCAGGCUCACUGCUCUGCUGAGUCAAAGCCAGUGCCCUUCCUGUCUCUGCCAGGCCCAUGUGUCCAAUGGCAAGUGCAGAGGAGAGCAAGUGCCGGGGGGAGAGCACACCGUCUGGCAAGCCCUGUCCUCCACAGACGGCCCUAUGGUCCUGCAUGGCACCUGCCUCCUUUUCUCUCUGACCACAAACCCACAUCUCUCUU
rnacentral:lncRNA from 1 species